UUAACCCAAUUUAGUAUGCAGUUGGAACAGCGCCUCUAGCGGCAAACGUACGCAAACGUUCCAACUCCAUACAAAUUCGAGUUA
rnacentral:pre_miRNA from 1 species